rnacentral:tRNA from 1 species
UCCCCGAGAGCCCACCGGUAGCGAUCUCGACUGUUAAUGCAGCGGCCGUUGGUUCGAGUCCAACUCGGGGAGCCA